UGCCAGCUCUCUGGGGC
rnacentral:misc_RNA from 1 species